CUUUAGACUUAUACAUAGCUGUCUGUGAAAUACGAUCAAGACCAGUUUAAUUCACAGAGCUAAAGAGGAACCUCGAUAUAAAACCAGUGAAGUGACUUGUUAGAUAAACAUCUCUAACAAUGUGCUGCAGCAAAUGCGGAAAAGAAGUGUACGCAAAGCAAAAUUGCCGGAUAUGUAGGAAGGAUUGUUCUAGCUAUGGACUGAGCAGUCAUUUCUGUCAGUGUGGCAACCUUCAACUUGUACAGCUAAACAAUCCAGGGGGUCGUGUUGUCCAGAGGAACAUGUACAUGCCACCAAGUGGUGUAAUGGUUCGCCACAGCAACAAUGUAGAAGACGGCGUUGAAUCAUUUGGAAUCACAGUGAAAAAGGACGGCAGAAUCGUUCGAACAGAAGAAAUCACCAUUUAUACAACUUAAAUUCAGAGUCGUGAAAUUGUCUGUAGUCACGUCAAAUGAAAAACCUUCAUUCAUUUAAAAAAAUUCUAACUUGAUUUAAAUGAUUAAAAUGUCUUGUGAUUCUGUGUACAAUACAUGCUGAUACUUUUUCGAUAACAGUUGUGCAUAACUUAUCUCACAAAACUCUAUAGUUUCAUUAUUUUCAUCUUGUGUUCUGAUAAGCUAUACGGUUGUGUAUUUUUUUAUUAAUCAAUAAAAUCAAAUGGGUGAAA